rnacentral:rRNA from 1 species
UAACGCGNGGAUAACCUGCCUCAUACAGGGGGAUAACAGUUAGAAAUAGGUGCUAAGACCGCAUAAGCGCCCAGGGCCGCNUGGCCCAGGGUGAAAAACUCCGGUGGUAUAAGAUGGGCCCGCGUCUGAUUAGCCAGUUGGCAGGGUAACGGCCUACCAAAGCGACGAUCAGUAGCCGGCCUGAGAGGGUGGACGGCCACAUUGGGACUGAGACACGGCCCAAACUCCUACGGGAGGCAGCAGUGGGGGAUAUUGCACAAUGGGGGAAACCCUGAUGCAGCGACGCCGCGUGAGUGAGGAAGUAUUUCGGUAUGUAAAGCUCUAUCAGCAGGGAAGAAAAUGACGGUACCUGACUAAGAAGCCCCGGCUAACUACGUGCCAGCAGCCGCGGUAAUACGUAGGGGGCAAGCGUUAUCCGGAUUUACUGGGUGUAAAGGGAGCGUAGACGGAAUUGCAAGUCUGAUGUGAAAAUCCGGGGCCCAACCCCGGAACUGCAUUGGAAACUGUAUUUCUAGAGUGUCGGAGAGGCAAGUGGAAUUCCUGGUGUAGCGGUGAAAUGCGUAGAUAUCAGGAGGAACACCAGUGGCGAAGGCGGCUUGCUGGACGAUGACUGACGUUGAGGCUCGAAAGCGUGGGGGAGCAAACAGGAUUAGAUACCCUGGUAGUCCACGCCGUAAACGAUGACUACUAGGUGU